CGGGUGCACUGAUCCGGCCGGGCCUUUCCCUCUGUGGAACCCCAUGGCCUUCACUGGCUGUGCGGGGGAAACAGGACUUUUACUGUGAAAAAAUUAGAGUGCUCCAGGCAGGCCUAUGCUCGAAUACAUUAGCAUGGAAUAAUAGAAUAGGACGCGUGGUUCUAUUUUGUUGGUUUCUAGGACCGCCGUAAUGAUUAAUAGGGACAGUCGGGGGCAUCAGUAUUCAAUUGUCAGAGGUGAAAUUCUUGGAUCUAUUGAAGACUAACUACUGCGAAAGCAUUUGCCAAGGAUGUUUUCAUUGAUAAGGAACGAAAGUUAGGGGAUCGAAGACGAUCAGAUACCGUCGUAGUCUUAACUAUAAACUAUGCCGACUAGGGAUCGGACGAUGUUAUUUCUUGACGCGUUCGGCACCUUUCGAGAAAUCAAAGUGCUUGGGCUCCAGGGGGAGUAUGGUCGCAAGGCUGAAACUUAAAGAAAUUGACGGAAGGGCACCACCAGGGGUGGAACCUGCGGCUUAAUUUGACUCAACACGGGGAAACUCACCAGGUCCAGACACAGUGAGGAUUGACAGAUUGAGAGCUCUUUCUUGAUUCUGUGGGUGGUGGUGCAUGGCCGUUCUUAGUUGGUGGAGUGAUUUGUCUGCUUAAUUGCGAUAACGAACGAGACCUUAACCUGCUAAAUAGCCCGUAUUGCUUUGGCAGUACGCCGGCUUCUUAGAGGGACUAUCGG
rnacentral:rRNA from 1 species